rnacentral:rRNA from 2 species
UGGGGAAUAUUGCACAAUGGAGGGAACUCUGAUGCAGCGACGCCGCGUGAACGAAGAAGGCUUUCGAGUCGUAAAGUUCUUUUAUAUGGGAAGAUAAUGACGGUACCAUAAGAAAAAGCCCCGGCUAACUACGUGCCAGCAGCCGCGGUAAUACGUAGGGGGCUAGCGUUGUCCGGAAUCACUGGGCGUAAAGGGUUCGCAGGCGGAAAUGCAAGUCAGGUGUAAAAGGCAGUAGCUUAACUACUGUAAGCAUUUUAAACUGCAUAUCUUGAGAAGAGUAGAGGUAAGUGGAAUUUUUAGUGUAGCGGUGAAAUGCGUAGAUAUUAAAAAGAAUACCGGUGGCGAAGGCGACUUACUGGGCUCAUUCUGACGCUGAGGAACGAAAGCGUGGGUAGCAAACAGG